rnacentral:rRNA from 1 species
ACAUGCUUACAACAUAGCGUUAAUGCACUGGAUCCCAUUAUAACUCCACAGUUAAGCACGCUUGGGAUAGAGUAGUACUGGGAUGGGUGACCACUCGAGAAUUCCUAGUGUUUUACAUGUC